rnacentral:lncRNA from 1 species
CUCUGUCUCGGGUGGGAGUCUCGGGCUCAGCAUCUCCACCUUACAGAAGCCCUCUACACCCUUCUGGGUCUGUGCUGGCUAUGGCUCUGCAGGAGACAGUUCUUUCAAAAGACUUCAGUUGCGUCACUGUGUCCAGAGGCAUGGGCUCAGCCACCCAGAUCUCACCUCAGUGCCACCGCGAAGUCACUGUGUCCAGAGGCAUGGGCUCAACCAUCCAGAUCUCACCUCAGUGCCACCAUGAGUAAGCAAGGGACGUCCGGCUGGAAAGUGUAAUUCCUGUCUGUCCGUCUACAGUUUGCAUUCCAGCUUCUGCAGGACUCUCAGGAUUUUGUUUCCCGAAUGAGAAAACUAGAGCUUAAACUGUCACUUACUUAAACAACAAGCAAAGUGGCACCUUCAAGUGGAUGGAAGAUGGAGGCCACUCUUCCAGAGGCAGCUUCUGGUGUCCUUGCCCCUGACAGUGCCCUCAUUCAUAGCUGUGCAGCUCACUGCUCCAAGGUGGUGACUCAUGUAGCAAGGUGAUACUCGCCCUCUUCCCUUGAUGCCCCUAUAGGUCUCCGUAACAUCGCUUACACUCCACACUCAGCUUUCUGCUCUCAGAGUGAAAGCCAAAGACCCUUGAGUGACCAACAGGGCCACCUGACCUGUUGCUCUGCUCCAGCUGCAUGGGUACUUCCUUUCUUGAACAUGCAGAGCACAGCCUCACCUUGCUAGUUCCCUGCCAAGAACAGGCCUGCUUGCCUGUGUGAACACUGCUCAACCUUCAUCUUCUGACCCUGGGCAUGCAUUCUCCCUGGUUUUCAAGUUUACAAUGGUGUGAAAGCAACUAUGUUCAGUAGAAAUUACACUUUGGAUUUGUAUCUUUUCCCAG